rnacentral:lncRNA from 1 species
AAUAACUCAAUGAAAUGAUGCAGAUUUAAGCCAUCUGUCCUCACUGUCUGUAAGGAAAGAAACAGUCUGAAAUUCACCUCCAAGACAGUUUAAAAAGUGUCUUGUGUAACAUCAAACCUCCCAGAUUUGUCAAUAGAGUAAGGUUUUAUCUAUCAGUAAGAUAGAUAUCUUUUUUCUUUCUAGCUGGUAGUUACAGCUAGAAUGUUAUAAUCUGCCAUGAUAACAACUGGAGUCUUCUAGAGAGUGGAUUUUUCCUUGUGAAAUUUUUCUCUUGGGUACCAUUAAAUGACGCACACUUCAGAGCCCUGCGAGCACUAAGAGGCCUUAAUAGCCAUGAUGGUCCCACCUGGGCACUCCCCGCUCCCUCUGCCUCUCGGCCAGCAGCUGUGUUUGCACCCAGCACCUGCCUGAGGUGUGCCAGACACGCAAUGCUCUUCAGCUCAGCCAGGCCUGGGGCCGGACCAGCACUCACUGCACCGUAGCCCAAGCCUGACCUGCAGGUUGAAUUCCUGUCUUGGCAUUGGACCUGCCUUAUCACCGUGGUAUUGCCUCCUGCACUGGGCUCAUGGCCAGGGCUGGCCACUGCCUCUGGCCUUGCUGUGCUGAGGGAGUGGGUGGCCCUCGCCAUGCCCAAGGUCAGUCAGCUAUUUGUGCCCAGACCCGUGGCACCACCUGCUGCUCUCUAACUGCAAAGGAGAAAAAGGAAAGACACAUUGCUGUUCCUCAGUAUGAAGAUCUAGAAUAA